CGGAUAUACACAUACGUCUCUUCGAAGGCUAUACGGAAUCGUGACCCUUUCGGAAAAAGCACCGAUACUCUCCAUUCCUGAAUGAUCGUGAUUCAGCCAACGGAACAUGCUGUCAAACCAUCGUAUCAAUCGCGCAAAGGGAACGAGAAAAGAUAACGUAUUAUUUUUAUAAUUUGUCAUCUUUGUAUCAUUGUUACGAUGGUUGAGAGGACUUGUAUAAAAAAAAACACACACACAGUAGCGUUUAACUUAAAAAGAAAAAAAAAAGAAGCAAACUGCGCCGCUCGCGUAAACGACAUUCAACACGAACACACGAUUAACACGCUACAACACACGAAACGUUAAUAUAUCAUACACUCCCCCGAAAACACGUGACAGGUUCGUCGAGACGAGCUCUCGCGUGAACGCGCGGCGCGUGAUAAACGCGAUCAAUCGACUAAACUGACGAUCCUAUUUGUUAUUAGAACCGCGGCCAUCGGUCGUCGUCACGCGGCACGAUACGGGGGAACGAAUUGCGUUUAGGGCGAACGAUUAACGUUUAAGGGGCGAAAUUCUUCGAUCUAUAAAUUCAUAUCCGGUAGCAAAUGUCGAGACAGAGUUUGCCGCUUUUGCGAGAGAGACGCUCUCCGGACCUUUAGACUUGGCGCUGCCAAGACCGCUGAAUGCAACGAUGAAAAGCCCGACAGCUGCACCAAUUGAACUGAUCGAUGUAUUCUUUUUUUUCUCGAGAGCGCUCAGGAUCUAUUUGGGAAACGUUUCGAUAUAUAUUGACAAGUUUGGGAUCAAAUUUUUUAAAUGAGAAUUUCUAAGUCUCGAAUGAAAUGAAUAAUCGUUCAAAGGAAUCGUGUUUUUCAGUGAAACUUGCCAAGAAAUUCAAUGUUGAGACAAAAGCUUCACUCGAUAUUUCGUCUGACAGUGAGAGGAAAGUCAAUUCCGCGAAUUUUUCGAAAUGUUCUUGAUAUAAUUUUCAGAUCUGAGGUCUCUCUGUGUAACGCAGAGAGUAAAAAAAGUUCACUAUAUCAGAGCAGCAAUCUCGCUCGAUCGACUCGUUGGUGCAAGCAAACCGGUCCUGGAUCGCGCUUAAAGGAUUUAAGUAGACCGUUAGAGGGCUAGAGCUACGUAAAAAGUAAUUCAUAUCAUUAAGUACGCGAAAUAGUGAUUUCGAAUUGGAGGCAAUGUGAGAGGAAGAGAGGAAAACGAGACAACUGAUUUCCUAUUAGUUUCUCUCUUUCUCCUGCGACUGCGUACUUCACCGGGUCCGCGGUAUACACGUGCGAAUUACGACUCGUCGCGGACGACGCCGUAUACAUGCGCACGUGCGGACCGCGGGGGUCCGCGGAGGCGCGUAUUUAGCUCAAGCUUUCCUUUUUAUAUUCUGUAAAUACAGCGAGUAAAUAAGAAUGGCGAGCAUUUUUAUAUAGUUAAUUUUAUAAUUUAUUUACUACGAAAGGGAGACAGACACGCCGCUCGUCUCCCCUUGCCGACCGUUCGUGGAAAACGCACGAGUUGGAGAUCCGAUGAGGAUUUAAAGAGUAAAAUAGGAGCGUGCAUACCAUACAGAAGACACACGUUACACAACGUAUACAUACACAUAGGACAUACACGCGCACGACUGUAGAUAAUUUGUAACAAUUGCUAUUGUCAAGUACCACGUAUAAAGCGACGUAUGCUGAUAUAUAUCAUUGCAUAUUAUACUGAUAACGAUUAAUAAAAGGUAAUGUUGAAAAUUAA